rnacentral:rRNA from 1 species
UGGCUCAGGAUGAACGCUGGCGGCGUGCUUAACACAUGCAAGUCGAACGAAGCACUUAUCUUUGAUUCUUCGGAUGAAGAGGUUUGUGACUGAGUGGCGGACGGGUGAGUAACGCGUGGGUAACCUGCCUCAUACAGGGGGAUAACAGUUAGAAAUGACUGCUAAUACCGCAUAAGACCACGGAGCCGCAUGGCUCAGUGGGAAAAACUCCGGUGGUAUGAGAUGGACCCGCGUCUGAUUAGGUAGUUGGUGGGGUAACGGCCUACCAAGCCGACGAUCAGUAGCCGACCUGAGAGGGUGACCGGCCACAUUGGGACUGAGACACGGCCCAAACUCCUACGGGAGGCAGCAGUGGGGAAUAUUGCACAAUGGGGGAAACCCUGAUGCAGCGACGCCGCGUGAGCGAUGAAGUAUUUCGGUAUGUAAAGCUCUAUCAGCAGGGAAGAAAAUGACGGUACCUGACUAAGAAGCACCGGCUAAAUACGUGCCAGCAGCCGCGGUAAUACGUAUGGUGCAAGCGUUAUCCGGAUUUACUGGGUGUAAAGGGAGCGUAGACGGCUGUGUAAGUCUGAAGUGAAAGCCCGGGGCUCAACCCCGGGACUGCUUUGGAAACUAUGCAGCUAGAGUGUCGGAGAGGUAAGUGGAAUUCCCAGUGUAGCGGUGAAAUGCGUAGAUAUUGGGAGGAACACCAGUGGCGAAGGCGGCUUACUGGACGAUGACUGACGUUGAGGCUCGAAAGCGUGGGGAGCAAACAGGAUUAGAUACCCUGGUAGUCCACGC